GCUUACAGCCAUACCACCCUGAAAACGCCCAAUCUCGGAAGCUAAGCAGGGUCGGGCCUGGUUAGUACUUGGAUGGGAGACCGCCUGGGAAUACCAGGUGCUGUAAGCU
rnacentral:rRNA from 1 species